CCCUCUUCCACAUCAUGGCUACAGAUACAAGAGCCCUGCCUGGUGUUCAAUCAGGUAAUCCAAUCCAAAGCAUUUCCUCUUCAGCAAGAUAAAUGACAAUUUGAAGUCCAAGGGGUAAAACAUGGACAUGGCUAGCAUUAGAAAUUGUUUUCUAGGAAGUUGCCUCAAACCAAAAUCACAUUUGGAUACACACAAAAAGUUGACAUAUGUUUGGAUCAUGGCCAUGGUGUUUGAACCCUUCUUCUCUCAUCCUCCAUUUGGUUUACCCAAAGAAGAAACAUGGCUCAAGAAACAUUUAAACUGGAGAAUUCCCCAACAUUCUUAACUGAGGAGAAGGGAAAGUAGUAGCAGUGGAACACAUCAACAAGAAGAAAACAGAUAUGAUGAGACAGCCUGGAGAUGAGAUCCUGCAAGGAUAGUUUCAAGGCAUUAAACAUGUUUUGUCCUGGAGAAGGGAUGCUUGAAAGGCAGCUACUUUCAAUGUGCCAAUUAGUUUUGGAGCUUUGUUCUGAUAUUACCAUGGCUCCCAAAGAUAAGGUUCAAAUCAAAAUAUUCAGAUUGCAAGAAAGGGAUUUUUUAUGCUAAAUGGUGAGAAGAUUUUCAGGUCACAGAUUGCAUGAGAAAGUGUCAGAGUGUCCCUUGAAAGACUUUUUAAGCAUUGUGUAGCAGGCCAUCUAAAAGAGAUUCUGUAUCAUGUGAUUUCCUGUGUUGACAAGGAGUUGAACAUGACCUUUGCAGUCCUUUCCAACUUUAUGAUUUAAAGCAGUAAUCUUAUGUAUUACUUCAGAAAUCCAUCCAGUUACAAUAGUAGGACAGUGUUUUAUCCCAUGUUACACACAAUAAACUGUUUCCUUCCCUCUAUGUUUGUAUGUAUGCAUUUGUGCAUAUCUUGCAUGAAGCCCACCUAGUGAGUUUGCAGCAGAGGUAAGAUGUGAACCAGAAAUUCCCCAGCCAUAGUUCAGUCUCCCUGCUACACAACCACAGCUCCUGUGAGAAAUCUUGUUUCCCUACUUGUGAGCCCAUACGUUUGAGCUGAGUGAACAUGUCCUGAAUCUAAGCAUGGCAGCCAA
rnacentral:lncRNA from 11 species